GCCUAAGUGAUUGUUCUAUAUAGAAUCGUCUUGAGACUUAAAAUCUCUCGCUCGCAAGGGCGUGCCGGUUCGAGUCCGGCUUCGGGCACCA
rnacentral:tRNA from 1 species